rnacentral:sRNA from 1 species
AGGCUGGGGGAGCUCAGACAGGAGGCUAGGAGGAGGGGGACUUUGGGGCUGAGGCUUUGCCAAAGGAGCAGGAGUUUGCCAAGUGUUGUAGGAAGCGGGAAGGGUGCGCCAGGUAGGGGGCACGGCGUGUGCCAAGGCCCGGAAACGUGAAACCGAGUGCUUUUCGGGGGCAACCGGGAAGUCAGUUGGUGGAGAAAAAUCAAAGAUGGGAGGAAAGGCGAGGCUGACAAGGACCCUAAACGGUGAUUCCCCAAGUCGGCCACUGGAGGGAUGACUUGGGGGACCAGGGAGGAAGAGCAGGCAUGAGCCAGCGUUCCCGGCCUGCAUACGGGAUGAUUCCAUGUGGACUGCCACAUCAAGGAAGCAAACAAGGAAAGCCUGGCGCUGCGUGGAGCUGUCUUUCGCUGCUAACUGCCCUUGACCGACUUCCUACCAGGUCUUCCCCGUGCGCCUCUAACCCCAGGAGGUGCUGCUGGCAUGCCCACCUCUCAGAUGAAGCAGUGCGGUCCAGAGAGCGUCUUGGGCACCGCCUGCCUCACAGCUGG